AUUGAACGCUGGCGGCAUGCCUUACACAUGCAAGUCGAACGGCAGCACGGGUGCUUGCACCUGGUGGCGAGUGGCGAACGGGUGAGUAAUACAUCGGAACAUGUCCUGUAGUGGGGGAUAGCCCGGCGAAAGCCGGAUUAAUACCGCAUACGAUCUACGGAUGAAAGCGGGGGACCUUCGGGCCUCGCGCUAUAGGGUUGGCCGAUGGCUGAUUAGCUAGUUGGUGGGGUAAAGGCCUACCAAGGCGACGAUCAGUAGCUGGUCUGAGAGGACGACCAGACACUGUGAGAGUGAGACACGGCCCGGGCUCAUACGGGGGGCAGCAGUGGGGAAUUGUGGACAAGGGGCGAAAGUCUGAUACAGCAAUGCCGCGUGUGAAGAAGGCCUUCGGGUUGUAAAGCACUUUUGUCCGGAAAGAAAUCCUUGGCCCUAAUACGGUCGGGGGAUGACGGUACCGGAAGAAUAAGCACCGGCUAACUACGUG
rnacentral:rRNA from 1 species